UACAGAGGUCCCAAGCGUUGUUCGGAUUCACUGGGCGUAAAGGGUGUGUAGGUGGCGCCGUAAGUCGGGUGUGAAAUUUCGGAGCUUAACUCCGAAACUGCAUUCGAUACUGCGGUGCUUGAGGACUGGGGAGGAGACUGGAAUUCAUGGUGUAGCAGUGAAAUGCGUAGAGAUCAUGAGGAAGACCAGUGGCGAAGGCGGGUCUCUGGACAGUUCCUGACACUGAGACACGAAGGCCAGGGGAGCAAACGGG
rnacentral:rRNA from 1 species